rnacentral:tRNA from 1 species
UAGGUGGCUGAGAAUAGGCGAUAGAUUGUAAAUCUAUUAACGGGGCUUCCCCUCUAAUUAG